AGAGUUUGAUCCUGGCUCAGGAUAAACGCUGGCGGCGUGCCUAACACAUGCAAGUCGAACGUCCUGCGCAAGCAGGGAGUGGCGGACGGGUGAGUACCACGUGGGUUAUCUGCCUCUGGGUGAGGAAUACCGGCGAGAAAUCGCCGACAAUACCGCAUACGCUCGCAAGAGCAAAGCCGGAAACGGCGCCGGGAGAUGAG
rnacentral:rRNA from 1 species